rnacentral:rRNA from 1 species
ACGGGAGGCAGCAGUGGGGAAUAUUGCACAAUGGGCGAAAGCCUGAUGCAGCGACGCCGCGUGAGCGAAGAAGUAUUUCGGUAUGUAAAGCUCUAUCAGCAGGGAAGAUAAUGACGGUACCUGACUAAGAAGCACCGGCUAAAUACGUGCCAGCAGCCGCGGUAAUACGUAUGGUGCAAGCGUUAUCCGGAUUUACUGGGUGUAAAGGGAGCGUAGGCGGAAUUUUAAGUCUGAUGUGAAAGCCCAGGGCUCAACCCUGGUACUGCAUUGGAAACUGGAGUUCUAGAGUGUCGGAGGGGUAAGUGGAAUUCCUAGUGUAGCGGUGAAAUGCGUAGAUAUUAGGAGGAACACCAGUGGCGAAGGCGGCUUACUGGACGAUUACUGACGCUGAGGCUCGAAAGCGUGGGGAGCAAACAGGAUUAGAUACCCUGGUA